rnacentral:rRNA from 1 species
UGCAAGUCGAGCGAGAAAGGGGCUUCGGCUCCGAGUAAAGCGGCGGACGGGUGCGUAACACGUGGAUAAUCUGCCUCGUGGCGGGGGACAACAGUCCGAAAGGACUGCUAAUACCGCAUGUCAGGUCGGAAACUCCGGUUUCUGACGAAAAAGAGGGCGUCCGCAAGGAGCUCUCACCACGAGAUGAGUCCGCGUCCCAUCAGCUAGUUGGCGGUGUAAUGGACCACCAAGGCUUAGACGGGUAGCUGGUCUGAGAGGAUGACCAGCCACACUGGGACUGAGACACGGCCCAGACUCCUACGGGAGGCAGCAGUGGGGAAUAUUGGACAAUGGGCGAAAGCCUGAUCCAGCCAUGCCGCGUGAGUGAUGAAGGCCUUCGGGUCGUAAAGCUCUGUGGGGAGGGACGAAAAAGCGUGACCUAAUACGUCUCGCCUUGACGGUACCUCCUUAGCAAGCACCGGCUAACUCCGUGCCAGCAGCCGCGGUAAUACGGAGGGUGCAAACGUUGCUCGGAAUUAUUGGGCG